CGUCGUGGGUGGUCAACAUUUCCUCAGCUCUGCGGUGGGACUCCAAGGCUUUUGUGGUGUAGAUAUCCUGAGGCAACUCAGAUUUGCGUCUCACCAUGGGCCGCUCUUUACGCUGCUCCCCCUGCAACUGAGUUGCGCCCUCCUCAACUGCCCUUUUUAACCUCUGUACAUCUUCUAUGAAAGGGACAUCCGUUUCCAUAGCAACGGGACUUAUGAUGUCAUAGGAAUCAAGAUACAAACAGAACUGGAUCGCAAAGAGAGGGAAGCAAGAAGAAGAAGAUGGAGAAAGGAGUUUCAGUGGCAUGCAAAGGAGAAGAAGAAAUCAAAGCUAAUCUUCAAAACUCUUCACUUCUGGGGCAAAUCUUUAAAAAAA